rnacentral:rRNA from 1 species
GAUGAACGCUGGCGGUGUGCCUAAUACAUGCAAGUCGAGCGAACAGACGAGGAGCUUACUCCUCUGACGUUAGCGGCGGACGGGUGAGUAACACGUGGAUAACCUACCUAUAAGACUGGGAUAACUUCGGGAAACCGGAGCUAAUACCGGAUAACAUGUUGAACCGCAUGGUUCAACAGUGAAAGACGGUCUUGCUGUCACUUAUAGAUGGAUCCGCGUCGCAUUAGCUAGUUGGUAAGGUAACGGCUUACCAAGGCAACGAUGCGUAGCCGACCUGAGAGGGUGAUCGGCCACACUGGAACUGGGACACGGUCCAGACUCCUACGGGAGGCAGCAGUAGGGAAUCUUCCGCAAUGGGCGAAAGCCUGACGGAGCAACGCCGCGUGAGUGAAGAAGGUCUUCGGAUCGUAAAACUCUGUUAUUAGGGAAGAACAAAUGUGUAAGUAACUAUGCACGUCUUGACGGUACCUAAUCAGAAAGCCACGGCUAACUACGUG